AGAAUCUCAUCCACUAACUCCUGCAUCCAGCUCAAAAUUAUGGUUGUAUUAGAGCAUGUCUUUUAGAAGGACACCCGGUAUUGAUUUAAAGGCGCUACGAGUGAUGGAAAAAACAACCACAUCCCUAGUGUAUUCACGGCUCAUGAAAGUUGCCAGGAGCCUGAUGUCUUGAUUGAUCCGUGGAACAGGAACAGCAAGGCCAUGGCAGGGCUGGUUUCACAGCUGCCCAGCCAGUGGGCCUGUCCCUUUCAGACGCAGAGGAGGAAAUCCCUAAUUUCUGCAUCGAGCCCUCCUUGAGCAGAAGGUCCAUCGGCUUCCCAGGAGCUGAAGGUUUCGAGGAUCAUGCCCCAAGUUUACCUCUGUCAAGAUGGUUGUGGCAGUGCUUCUUCCUUGGCUCAAGUCACUGCAACACUAUGCACCAUAUGUCUUAUGAAACGCACAACAAAUGAGGAAUUUUUCCAUCCGGAGUUUCUCAUGAGCCCUCUGGGAGUUCUAAAUUCAUUGUUCUUAAAAAUGAGCAACUUGCAUGUUGUGGACUAGUCACAAAAGUGACAUGUACCCCUUUUCAGUGGCGGACUGGUGGGGAGGGGGAAAACCACCUAUGAGAGCAAAUUUGCAAAAUGGUCUGUUGCCAUGCAGCCCCAUCUAACAGUGAAAUAAAUACCUGGAAGCCAUUAAAGGGUUAAAUGUACAUGUUAUUGCAGGAGAUCCUCCCGAUAUCUGAACAGGGUAGGCUUGUUAACCCAAGGUUUAAGGCAGCUAAGUGAAGUAUUUCAGCCAUUCCUAGGUUAACUCCCCUAUUGGCUCCAAAGCAGUGCUCCUGUUCUGAAUGUAACAGGUUGCAAAGUGAUUAUUGUGUAAACCAGACAUGCAGAGAGAGCCCCUCCAAGCCAACUGCUUUGAAAUGACACUUUUCCAGUGAGUGAUAGCCAAGCACAUGGACUUGCAAAAAAGAUUUGAGGGUGUUUGAUACAGGGUGAGAGAAAUGUUGGUUCUGGAAGAAGGGGGCGCGGGAAGGGAAGCAGAGGCGGGAGAAGUGUUUUGGCUGGACAGUUUGAACUUGGGGCUGGGUAUCUGUUUUUUGUUUUGUUCAUUCUUAUUCAAAGUAUUAACAGAAAUGAUGCACCUGUUCUAAAUAGAUGAGGAAAGGCCACCCAGGGUGUAUGUCACUCUUUCUUCUCUAUAAAGAAUUAUCCUGCUCGAGAAGUCUUGACUACUCACAAGAUGGGAAGAUACUGGUUAGAUGAAAGGAUGUAGACAACUGGGGGCUUGGGGAGGGGCUUGAAACCCCAUCUCCCCCCCCCCAAAUGUAGAGAUUGCAUUAAUAAAAAACACUUGAGUUUGGAAUAGAAAUUAUUUUCUCACUUUAUUAAAAGUGGGCAAAUUUAGUCAUGAGACAAAACGCCUCAUUGAGACGAUAGGCAACAGUGGCUAUUUUUUCUUUUAACUCUAGCCCAUCCUCUCGCAAUAAAAAAAAAAAAGGCACUCUGCGCCCCUGUGCCGAGGCCAAAUGGUUUGCGAGUAGCGGUCCGUGAUCUUUCCUGUGUAAGUCGUGAAUUGCUUGUUCGCAGGGUGGUAAUCUGAAUGCAGCUCUAGGAGAGGUGACUAAAUGGGAAGACGCUCUUUAGUGGAGAGCCAAUGUUUUAUUUAAUAAACCACAGCUCACUACUUAUUCACUGGAAUCAAAUCAUGCGUUCAGUAUCACUUAUUACAAUCUAUUUACUUUCAUUACCAUUAGCCUUGCUCUUAUCACUCUGUUGCAUAUCCUGUAAACUCUUUGAUCCAAAACAUUUCACAUAUAAAAAGGACAGUUUAACCAUAUAGAGAUGGGAGAGCUAAAAACUAGCUGUCUGUACUAGGGGCUAGGAGCAGAGCUGAUGUACAGCCAGCAUAAGGGCUGUAUGCUGACCAGGCAUCCUCUUAGGGCUGUUUCUGCUAUCCUGAAGGCCAUUUGAUGCCAUCAGAAUGAGACUCAGACCCAAUAACAGAGAGUACGGUCCCUUUAAGGACUACGUAGACCCAGAGAGUCAAGAAGGUCACAUGAAUCCUAGAGAAGGAGCUGUGGCCUGGGGAGAGUUAAAGA